CACGUAGGCGGCUCGGCAAAUCGGUCGUGGAAUCCCGACGCUUACCGUCGGAACGGCGGCCGAAAAUACCGGGCUCGAGGGCGUGAGGGGUCACUGGAACUCCUGGUGAAGCGGUGGAAUGCGUAGAUAUCGGAAGGAACAUCAGUGGCGAAGGCGACUUCCUGGACCAAUACUGACGCUCAGGUGCGAAAGCGUGGGGAAGCAAACAG
rnacentral:rRNA from 1 species